GACGUAGGGCGCGAGCGUUGUCCGGAUUUAUUGGGCGUAAAGAGCUCGUAGGCGGCUUGUUGCGUCGACCGUGAAAACCCGCGGCUUAACUGUGGGCUUGCGGUCGAUACGGGCGGGCUGGAGUUCGGUAGGGGAGACUGGAAUUCCUGGUGUAGCGGUGAAAUGCGCAGAUAUCAGGAGGAACACCGGUGGCGAAGGCGGGUCUCUGGGACGGUACUGACGCUGAGACGCGAAAGCGUGGGGAGCGAACAGG
rnacentral:rRNA from 1 species